UGGGGAAUUUUGGACAAUGGGCGAAAGCCUGAUCCAGCAAUGCCGCGUGUGUGAAGAAGGCCUUCGGGUUGUAAAGCACUUUUGUCCGGAAAGAAAUCCUUGGCUCUAAUACAGUCGGGGGAUGACGGUACCGGAAGAAUAAGCACCGGCUAACUACGUGCCAGCAGCCGCGGUAAUACGUAGGGUGCAAGCGUUAAUCGGAAUUACUGGGCGUAAAGCGUGCGCAGGCGGUUUGCUAAGACCGAUGUGAAAUCCCCGGGCUCAACCUGGGAACUGCAUUGGUGACUGGCAGGCUAGAGUAUGGCAGAGGGGGGUAGAAUUCCACGUGUAGCAGUGAAAUGCGUAGAGAUGUGGAGGAAUACCGAUGGCGAAGGCAGCCCCCUGGGCCAAAUACUGACGCUCAUGCACGAAAGCGUGGGGAGCAAAACAGGAUUAGAUACCCUGGUAGUCCACGCCCUAAACGAUGUCAACUAGUUGUUGGGGAUUCAUUCCUUAGUAACGUAGCUAACGCGUGAAGUUGACCGCCUGGGGAGUACGGUCGCAAGAUUAAAACUCAAAGGAAUUGAC
rnacentral:rRNA from 1 species